rnacentral:lncRNA from 1 species
CACGUGGGAGUGGCUUGCCUGCCCAGACCCACUGAGCCUGCAGGUGUCCCUGGUAGGAGAGAUGGGAGGGCUUGUCCCUGACCAUUUCGCGCAUCACUGCUGCGGGUGAGAAACCAGGGACAGGUGGGAGAGGAGGGGCACCUCCUGAGCCUCCCCUCCCUGUGGAGACCCCCAUGUCACCAGCUGUGCCUGAGGCAGGGCAGCGCCACGUCCCUCUCUCUCCAGCUGCCCUUGGUCACCCAGCACCUGUUUUGUGUCAGGAGGGGUUUAUUGGGGGGGAGUGCCUUGGUCCCAACUCUGGGCUCUUUGUGGGACUUAGGCACACCUGGGAAUGACUCACAGGUGAAGGGCUGGGGGAGGACAGGUCCCUGGAGGUUCUGAUAGCUGCUGGCCUCUUGCAAUUUAAGUGGGCAAGGCCUUAGGGCCAUGUCACCAGCCUCAUGCUUUCCAAGUGUUGCCCUUCCCUGCUGCGUCACCUCUUCCCCACCAGGGAACGGAGGGAGGGCAGGUGGGAGCCCCCGGUGGGGAACUCGAGGAUUCAGGGAUGGCACAGACAGGAGUCCUUCAGCUCAGUGGGAACUGGACAUCCCUCGCCUAGGGUUGGGGGAGUGCCUCUGGCCACAGGCCAGGAUCGCCGGCUCCUUGCUCCUCAACUCCGACCCUGCAGGCGGAUCAGUUCCUUAAAAGGGCUGUUCUUGGGCCUUCCCAACAGGUGCCCAGGGUGCAGCUGGAGUACACACUGAUGUCAACCUCCCAGAGUGUCCUGGACGGGCGCCGAGGCCACCUCCACCCUGUUACACCAGAGGAACAAGGGUGACAACUGUCUGGGCUGAGUCCUGGGCUGGCUCUGUGGGGAGGUGGCUCCAGGCCUCUCCAGGGACUGGAGUGAAGGCCUGAGAGUGCCCACCCCUGAGGGAGAGGACCCCGUGUGGGGGUGGAUGCCCUACUCCAGGACAGCUCUCGGCUGCCUCUCAGCCCCAAGCUGUGGACAGCCCUGCAGGAGCUCUCACCACUUGGUGCAAUGGUGGGGAUGGGGACAGGGCUGUCUGAGCUGGCACUUGAUCCUACGCCAGCCCCCGGUUCCCAGAGGAGCGAAGACUGGACAUCAUGCUCAGGCCCCCUGGCUCCAGGCCCCACCCUGGCUCCAGGCUCCCAUUGUCCCAGCGUGGUGCCAGUGAGUAGCUGGUGACUGAGGGACUCAGGGUGCCCAGAUCCCAGCCCAGGGUUGUCUCCUGCCCCCCCGCCUGCUGAGGGGCUGGAGCCCGUGCUGACUUCCCUGCCCCAGAUGCCUCAGUUCCCGCCCCCAGACCUGCCACCCUGCCCUUGGUCUCUCCCUGGGCAUGAGAAAUGAGCCCCUGGGCCUGGCAGUAGCCUGAGGUGUCCCAGAUCUCCUAAUAACAGAAGCACUGGGAGGCCCCAGAUGGAGGCCGCGUGGAGGUAGAAGGGUCAGCUGUGGACGGCAGGAAAUGUCUGAUUUUUGGCAUCCGACUGCCUCUGCAAUGACAUCAUCAGAAGGUUGUCACUGACUGGGCAGUAAAGCAGCUCAUGACCCUGACUGUAGAAUGCCCAGUGGAGCCAGCCUGCAGCCCUGGCCGUGGCCACUCCUGGCUUCAGCCGAGGCCCCUCACGGGCAGCAGCCCUGCCAGGAGCGGGCUGCAGAGUCUUGCCCAAGCACCCUGCGGCCUGGCCCCGCCCUCUGCAAUGCACCUCGGCCUGACGGGCAGCCUUGUCCACCAGGUAUCCCCAGUUGCAGUGCGGUUAGCUGGGGGAGCUGGGGUACCACCCUGGGUGGGGGCCAAGGGCGGGGGUCCGUGUCUUCCGGCACAGCUUCCUGCAGGCUCUCAGUUCCCAGAGGGGGAGGGAAGCAGGAGAGGCCGCAGAAGUGGGAGGUGACAGGAAACCCAGGGCUGCGGCUCUCUGCCCCACUGCCUCUGAGACCUGUGUCUCCCAGGAAAACAGGCCUCCAGGGACUGGACACUGCAGGACCUAGGCCCUCUUCUGGGGGUGGCAGGUGCCGAGGAGGCCCCUUACUGGACUUCCCAGCACUCAGAAGCAAGCCUCGUGGAGCUGCCCCCUCCAUAUGUGGCCGCAUGCCGUGAUUCCAGUCGCCACCCUAGAGACAUCCCCAACCCAGGAGGGAUGGAGCCUCUCCCAUGCCCACCUCAGUCCCCCGCUCAAGCCAAUUCCUUCUCAACAGAGGGCCUGAGAGCCAGAGACGGAGGGGCUGGGGAAUGGGAAAGCCAGCUGCCCCCAGCCAAUCACCCCAGAACACCACUGCUCAGCCUCCGAGUUGGAGGGCAGCCCGGUGUGGGCUCUUGGCCCACGGCCCACUGGGCCCACAUCAAAGUCCUGGUCAGGCCCGUCUCCCAAGUCAGGGUCUCUUCCAUGCUCACGUGGUGGUCUCAUAGUUGAGCUUGGUUUGUAAAACAGAGAUGCCUGUUCUCUGUGGUGGUGGCGGGGGGCAGUGGCUGGGGGCAGGGCCGGGGCGGUGGCCGGGGCGGCUCUCAGCUCCUGGAGGUACAUGGAGAGCUCUUGUGGCUCCUGGGGGAGAUCAUAUCAUGUCACCUUGUUAAACCAAGUCCACCCCUCGUGACAUCUCUCCAUGAAAGAGGCCAAGGCCUUCUGUUUACAGGGUGACUCUAGGGACCUCUAUAAGGCGAGUACCCCAGGGACAGUGGUUUGGGGCUUCCAAAGAAAGCUGAGAGAUAGCUCCUUGUCCCCUGGACUGAGGUGGAUGGAGCGUCCCCGAGGGCCACCUCUGUGGGACACCCCAGGCUUUGCCACCCUCAGGCUGAGGACUCCCACAGCCAGCUGACCCAGCAGGGCAUCCCUGCGUCCCGCAUGCCCAGCCCAAGCUCGGGACAGGAGGUUUUGGAGGGAACCCUAACCCUAGCAGAGCGUCCCAGAUAGAGGCUCAAUCACUGUCAUGGCUUGCCGGCUGCACAAGAGUUCCCUGGAGGAUUCCGAUGCAAUAACUCAUCAGGCACACGAUAAAUCCAGGGAAUACCUCCUGGGUUGGGAGAAGCCGGAUCUGACUUUCUCUGGAGCUUCCCGAGCGGGCAGGGCCAUUCAGCAGCUCUAGCGCACUUUGUCUGUUACCUGGGAGGCUCCCUCCUGCAGGACAGGGCUCCCAGUGAAAGCCAACCCCGAAGAGGGAAUUGUGCUCAGGGACCCCAGAGUGUGGCAGUCCCCCGACUGAGUGCUGUCUCUGCUCAGUUGAUCAGCACCAGGGGGAGAGGUAAAUAGGGGUGCCGAGAGGAGGAGAAGGGAGGACCAGCCACUGCCACCUGCCCGUCAGCUGCAAGCACCUGUGGAGACAGGACGGGUGCCCACAGGAGACGGAUUCCCCUUGCAGAGCUCCUGGCUGAACCAGCUGCUGCUGAGGUCUGCUGUCAGGGCACGUGUGGAUGUCACAGGCCCUCUCCAGGAGGGACAAGCUGGGCCCUGGGAAGCUAGUGGGAUGCAUGGGCCAACUGCAGGAUGUGGAGAUAGAUCAUGGAGCAAGAACUGCGGUUUCCUCACCCCCCAGAUGCUGCACUGGAGCUGGCUGAGACGGGCCUGGCAGAGUCUGCAGCACUGGGCUCCUGAGGAGCAGAGCCCCGCUCCAGGCAGGGGGCUCCUUCAGCACGGAGCCCAAGACCCCGGGCUGGAUUUCACGUGGGGAUGCUGCCGGCAGGGUCACGUUCCUCCUGGGAGGUGGAGUGAGUGGCCAUGGCAGGACAGGGCGGGUGGUCUUGUAGGAUCAGUGGUGUGCGCUGGCCAUGCUCAAACCAGCAGCUGCCCCCUUGCCAGCACAGGUGUUUGUAUUUCUGUUUCUGUUUCUGUACUUGUCUGCUCUGCUGGUCCCAGAGAACCAGAGAACCCAGAGCCUUGCUCGUGCUAGGCAGGUGCUCUACCCAAGCCAGAGCAGCACCUACUUGAAUCUGUCAAGUGACUUUGUGGCCAUUAUGCCAGCAACAGCAUCAGAGCCAUCCACCCGCCCCCCCCCCAAGCUCAUAUAAAUGCAGAGUCCUGGUGCCUCCUGGGCCGUCCAUUUGGGGUUUCAGGGUGUGAAACCCAGCACAUUGGACACUUCUACUCUGUGAUCUGCAGCAGCCAUCAGCAAAGGCCAUGGGGAGACCCAGGAUCAUGCUGAGCAGUAGAAACCCCCUCCAAUGGUGCUCCACCAUGAGCAGCGUCCCCUCCACCCAAGGGCAUCUCACUGGGGCAGAGCCAGGUACACAGACUGCCUGACCACUGAUUGGCCUUUGGUAGAUGUUAGGGUUUGGGUAUGAGGGGUCCCCCAAAGCUCCUGCGAAUGCAGGAAUGCUCAGAGGUGAAAUGAGUGGACUGUGAGAGCUGUGACUUUACCAGCUCACCCUGAUUGAAAUGGACUGACUGGGUGGACUGAGGGCAGGUGGCCCUGGGGUCACGACCUGGAGGUGUUCUUCUUCUUGAGGUUCCUUCCCCAAUCUCAAUCCCUCUCUCUCUCUCUCUCUCUCUCUCUCUCUCCCCUCACUGGGAGUUGAGCAGCUUUCUUCCACUGGACUCCUCCACCAUGAUGUGCUACCUCUCCUCGGGUCCCAGCAAUGGAGCCAGUGGUCCAUAGAUUAGAGCUUUGAAAAUGUGAGCCCCAAAUAAACUUUCCCUCCCCUAAGUUGUUCUUGUUGGGUGUUUUGGUCACAGUGAUGAACGAUGAACUAAAACAGAAAUUGGUCCUGAGAAGUGGAGUCAUCGCUGUGGCUAGCCUGACCUUGGGGUUCAGGAGCCUUUAGAGCUGGUUUGUGGGGGGAUUUUGAAAAGUUUAGAGAUUCAGACUGGAAAAGCUUUCAAAUGUUGUGAGCAGAGCUUAGAGGGAGAUUCUGGCAGCUCAGAAGACAAGAAUGCCGAUAGGAUUGUGGACAGUGCUCAUGAGUUUUCCCAGGGAAAUGAGGACUCCCCUGGGCGGACUGGAGGUCACUCCUGCUAUAUUCUGGCAAAGAACUUGUCUACAUUUUACCCAUGUCCUGAGAGUGCGUGAGGCUGAAUUCAAAAGUGAUGAACUGAUUAAUUUGCUGUAGAAAAUUUCAAGGCAGCACAAUAUUCAGUCAGUGGCAUGGAUACUCUGGGCAGUUUUUAGCCAAGUUUACUGUGAAAAAUGGGGGUAGAAAUCAAAAAAAGUUGAAGAAUGUUAAAAACUUGAAGUUGGACCAGAAAAAUGCAUGUAAAGUUGGGGCCAAGAAGGAUGUGCUUGUUGGAGAGACCACACCCCUAAAGGACCCUAAGUGCUGAGCACAGGGACCUGGGAGAGAGGGCCUGAGGGCACCUCAGGAAUUUGCAAGACCACCCUACUACAGGCUCCAGGGUACAGAUGAGAAAAUUACUUUGAAAGGAGAUCGUGGGGCACCCUGCUCACACGAGGUGGCAGGGCGUGGGGGCUAGGAAGUUGUCUCACAGUGCUGAGCUGCACAGAUAUUCAGAUGGGAGGGGCCAGGUUUCAUGCAAGGUGGAAAACCUUGGUAUCAUCCUUGUGAUGCUGGUUCUGCAGGGAUGCUGGAUGCUAGGUUAAGGGACUCUGGAGGCUUCCACCAAAGUCUCAAAGGAAGACCUGGGUGGCCAGGCAAAGGGUGGCAAGGUUGGAGUCCCUGUGGGCAGCUCCCGAGAGGCAGAUGCAGGAGGUUGUGGAGGUGAAGCUGACGCUGGAGUGGAGACCUCGGGAACUAAGAGACGUUGGGAGCUGGGAGCAUGGACUGACUCCUGAGAAAGCUGCUGGCUGUGCAAGUGCCAGGCAGGAGGAGAGCCCAGGUGGCACCUGGCAAGGUCAAAGGGGCGGGGCUGCCCAAGCCCUUUGGAGAGCACAUUUCCCAGCCACGUGUCUGAGGUACUGAGUGCAGAGUUCCUGGGCCUGUGUACCCAGCUGGAUUUGGG